GACGAACGCUGGCGGCGUGCUUAACACAUGCAAGUCGAACGGAAAGGCCCUGCUUUUGUGGGGUGCUCGAGUGGCGAACGGGUGAGUAACACGUGAGUAACCUGCCCUUGACUUUGGGAUAACUUCAGGAAACUGGGGCUAAUACCGGAUAGGAGCUCCUGCUGCAUGGUGGGGGUUGGAAAGUUUCGGCGGUUGGGGAUGGACUCGCGGCUUAUCAGCUUGUUGGUGGGGUAGUGGCUUACCAAGGCUUUGACGGGUAGCCGGCCUGAGAGGGUGACCGGCCACAUUGGGACUGAGAUACGGCCCAGACUCCUACGGGGGGCAGCAGUGGGGAAUAUUGCACAAUGGGCGGAAGCCUGAUGCAGCAACGCCGCGUGCGGGAUGACGGCCUUCGGGUUGUAAACCGCUUUCGCCUGUGACGAGGCGUGAGUGACGGUAAUGGGUAAAGAAGCACCGGCUAACUACGU
rnacentral:rRNA from 1 species